AUGCCUUCCUUGGCCUUUUGGCUAAGAUCAAGUGUAGUAUAUGUUCUAAUUAGUAUAAUAUCUUAUAUAUGGUCCAUUGGGCCAUAUGAUAUUAAAUAAAUUUCUUGUGAGGGAGGGCCUGUCAUAGUAGCUUGUUGUGCCCUCUGGCAUUGCUUAUGUGUUGCACUAUAAGACUGGCCUUGUACACCCCUA